CCUACGGGAGGCAGCAGUAGGGAAUUUUCGUCAAUGGGCGCAAGCCUGAACGAGCAAUGCCGCGUGAACGAGGAAGGUCUUCGGAUCGUAAAGUUCUGUUGAAGGGGAAAAAGAGCGGAGAGAGGAAAUGAACUCCGAUUGAUAUUACCCGUCGAGGAAGUCACGGCUAACUACGUGCCAGGAGCCGCGGUAAUACGUAGGUGGGGAGCGUUAUACGGAAUGAUGGGGCGUAAAGGGCGCGUAGGCGGCCGGCUAAGUCUGGAGUGAAAGGUACCGGCUCAACCGGUACAGGCUCUGGAAACUGGCGGGCUAGAGAGCAGGAGAGGGCGGUGGAACUCCAUGUGUAGCGGUAAAAUGCGUAGAUAUAUGGAAGAACACCAGUGGCGAAGGCGGCCGCCUGGCCUGUUGACUGACGCUGAGGCACGAAAGCGUGGGGAGCAAAUAGGAUUAGAUACCCCUGUAGUC
rnacentral:rRNA from 1 species